CUUCUUCCCUCCAGGUAAACUGUGGAAGUGAUGCUCUGACUUAUACUGUCAGAAUGCUGUGAUUCUGCUGCACGCCCUGGACAGCUGGCCAUUAGGGAGCACUGCAGGCUUAGAAGAGGUGACUUGUCUUCCUCAGUGUAUAGCCCUUAAGGUAGAGCAGCUGUCACUGAAUAAGGAGGCUGAUCUUUCAUGGAAGAAGUUCUAGUUUGGCCACAGAGAAUUAUAGCAUAGUGAAACUUCAAGCACUGGUUUAUUUGGACCAUCUCAGUGCACAUGAAUCAGAUGAUUUUAUCUUUUGUUCCUAUCCUUGCUAUCCCUAAUCUGUCAGGCAGUCCUGAAUCUAUACCAUCAGGCUUGUUUGUUCUACUUCUGUAUCCUUUUAUCAUGGUUCCAUUAACUCACAUCCAAGGAUGUCAACAGAAUAAAUAGCCCAAUAAAACAAAAGAAUAUACUUCCAGAUUUAAAAGGAAAGAAACAUACAAGAAAUACAUAAAUCACACUGUAUGAUAAUAGCCCAGAAGGGUGCAUGGGAGGAUCUUUGUGUUUUCUGUAUAAGAAAAGAAAAAUGGAAUUUCCAUAUUUUGCAUCAAUGCAUGAGAGCUGUAAUUAUUGUAUACUGGAUACCACAAAAUGAGAGAUAGGUGUCAGAAAUAAUUUUGCCUGAAAUAAGCCCACUUCCAUGGAGGAUGGCAACACAUUUUCUCUGGUGCUCUUCUUAUGAUCAGGGACAAUUUAAAUAUGAGUCUAAUCUACAUUUUGUCAAAGAAAUCCUUAAUCACGGACAUUUCCUCCUAAUAAAACAUGGUCCCUUACAACA